UGCUUCCAGGUGCAGCAUGGGCAUUGAGUUAUUUGAAUGCUCCAGAAGUGACUCUACUAUGCAGCUAACAUGUGAACUACUGCCCUAAAGAUACCUUCUAGCUGUAAGAAUGUCAUGAUUUUAGCAUAAUCCUACAUAAAGGACACAACAUUCAUGGAAAAUGAACAUUCCUAUAAAAAGUUCUGGAGGCUGCUGAGUCCAAGAUCAAGAAGCCAGAUUUGGUGCUGGGUGGGGACAAGCUUCCUGGGUCACAGAUGACCAUCUUCUCACUGUGUCCGCCUGUGGAGAAAGGGCCGAGGGAACUCUCUGGAAUCUCACACAGAC